rnacentral:rRNA from 1 species
GACAGAGGUGCCGAGCGUUAGGCGGAAUCACUGGGCUUAAAGCGUGUGUAGGCGGAUGGGUAAGUACCUUGUGAAAUCCCACGGCUCAACCGUGGAACUGCUCGGUAUACUGCCCGUCUUGAGCCAGCUAGGGGCAACCGGAACAAACGGUGGAGCGGUGAAAUGCGUAGAUAUGACAUAGAACACCAAUUGCGAAGGCAGCUUACUACACAACGAUUGACACUGAGGCACGAAAGCGUGGGGAUCAAACAGG